rnacentral:tRNA from 1 species
GCUGUAGCUCAGUGGUAGAGCACUUGCUAGUGGGCCAGAAGCCCUGGGUUCAAUUCCCAGUACUGCA